rnacentral:lncRNA from 1 species
CUUUUCGACAAAAAAAUUGACAACUUGAGUUUACAUCUAAAAGGAAUAUGAAAUGUACUUGCGAUUAAUACACAUUCCCUAUGCUGAACAAGCCAAAACUUCAAUCUUUGUCAUAUCUAUGGACAUUCUCAUUUGAUGGCUCAGAUGAAACGGUGUCCCAUUUCACAUUUGGUGAUACUACGCUCGCAUAUCAUUUUCACGUAACUGACAUGUAAACUCUGCAUAUCCAUAUGAACUAUAAAUUUGAAACAAGAAGUUUAAUAAUGGGUGAACAGCUAAUUUUUCUCCUGUUUCUCUUUGUCAUUGCUUACUCCUAUUUUGCUCAAGAGUUAGUUGUCUGUUAUUCAAUUAAUUAAUCAAUCCUCCUCUAAGCCUAGGAAUUCUCUCUUACUAGUAUACUUUAAUGUUGAAGGGAUUGUUAUAGGAUUCUCAGAAGUGGCAUAAUGAUUUUCAGUCUACAUAAUCAUGACUUUGGUCUCAUCAAUGAG